AGGGCGCACGGUGGAUGCCUUGGCACUAGAAGCCGAUGAAGGACGUGACUAACGACGAAAUGCUUUGGGGAGCUGUAAGUGAGCAAUGAUCCAGAGAUGUCCGAAUGGGGGAACCCGGCAGGUAAUGCCUGUCACUCAUUACUGUUAAGGUAAUGUAGAGGAAGACGCAGUGAACUGAAACAUCUAAGUAGCUGCAGGAAGAGAAAGCAAAAGCGAUUGCCUUAGUAGCGGCGAGCGAAACGGCAAGAGGGCAAACCGAAGAGUUUACUCUUCGGGGUUGUAGGACUGCAACGUGGACUUAAAGAUUAUAGAAGAACUACCUGGGAAGGUAGGCCAAAGAGAGUAAUAGCCUCGUAUUCGAAAUAGUCUUUAUACCUAGCAGUAUCCUGAGUACGGCGAGACACGAGAAAUCUCGUCGGAAUCUGGGAGGACCAUCUCCCAACCCUAAAUACUCUCUAGUGACCGAUAGUGAACCAGUACCGUGAGGGAAAGGUGAAAAGCACCCCGGGAGGGGAGUGAAAUAGAACCUGAAACCGUGUGCCUACAACAAGUUCGAGCCCGUUAAUGGGUGAGAGCGUGCCUUUUGUAGAAUGAACCGGCGAGUUACGAUAUGAUGCGAGGUUAAGUUGAAGAGACGGAGCCGUAGGGAAACCGAGUCUUAAUAGGGCGCAUUAGUAUCAUGUCGUAGACCCGAAACCAUGUGACCUACCCAUGAGCAGGUUGAAGGUGAGGUAAAACUCACUGGAGGACCGAACCAGGGCACGUUGAAAAGUGCUUGGAUGACUUGUGGGUAGCGGAGAAAUUCCAAACGAACUUGGAGAUAGCUGGUUCUCUCCGAAAUAGCUUUAGGGCUAGCGUCGAUGUUAAGUCUCUUGGAGGUAGAGCACUGUUUGGGUGAGGGGUCCAUCCCGGAUUACCAAUCUCAGAUAAACUCCGAAUGCCAAUGAGAUAUAAUCGGCAGUCAGACUGCGAGUGCUAAGAUCCGUAGUCGAAAGGGAAACAGCCCAGACCACCAGCUAAGGUCCCAAAAUAUAUGUUAAGUGGAAAAGGAUGUGGGGUUGCACAGACAACUAGGAUGUUAGCUUAGAAGCAGCUAUUCAUUCAAAGAGUGCGUAAUAGCUCACUAGUCGAGUGACCCUGCGCCGAAAAUGUACCGGGGCUAAAACAUAUUACCGAAGCUGUGGAUACCUUUAUAGGUAUGGUAGGAGAGCGUUCUAUGUGCGAAGAAGGUGUACCGUGAGGAGUGCUGGAGCGCAUAGAAGUGAGAAUGCCGGUAUGAGUAGCGAAAGACAGGUGAGAAUCCUGUCCACCGUAAGACUAAGGUUUCCAGGGGAAGGCUCGUCCGCCCUGGGUUAGUCGGGACCUAAGGAGAGACCGAAAGGUGUAUCCGAUGGACAACAGGUUGAUAUUCCUGUACUAGAGUAUAUAGUGAUGGAGGGACGCAGUAGGCUAACUAAACCAGACGAUUGGAAGUGUCUGGCCAAGCAGUGAGGUGUGAUAUGAGUCAAAUGCUUAUAUCUCUAACAUUGAGCUGUGAUGGGGAGCGAAGUUUAGUAGCGAAGUUAGUGAUGUCACACUGCCGAGAAAAGCUUCUAGCGUUAAUUAUACUCUACCCGUACCGCAAACCGACACAGGUAGUCGAGGCGAGUAGCCUCAGGUGAGCGAGAGAACUCUCGUUAAGGAACUCGGCAAAAUGACCCCGUAACUUCGGGAGAAGGGGUGCUGGCUUUCAGUCAGCCGCAGUGAAUAGGCCCAAGCAACUGUUUAUCAAAAACACAGCUCUCUGCUAAAUCGUAAGAUGAUGUAUAGGGGGUGACGCCUGCCCGGUGCUGGAAGGUUAAGAGGAGUGCUUAGCGUAAGCGAAGGUAUGAAUUGAAGCCCCAGUAAACGGCGGCCGUAACUAUAACGGUCCUAAGGUAGCGAAAUUCCUUGUCGGGUAAGUUCCGACCCGCACGAAAGGCGUAAUGAUUUGGGCACUGUCUCAACGAGAGACUCGGUGAAAUUUUAGUACCUGUGAAGAUGCAGGUUACCCGCGACAGGACGGAAAGACCCCAUGGAGCUUUACUGCAGUUUGAUAUUGAGUAUCUGUACCACAUGUACAGGAUAGGUAGGAGCCUAUGACCUCGGGACGCCAGUUUCGAGUGAGGCGUUGUUGGGAUACUACCCUUGUGUUAUGGCUACUCUAACCCAGAUAGGUUAUCCCUAUCGGAGACAGUGUCUGACGGGCAGUUUGACUGGGGCGGUCGCCUCCUAAAAGGUAACGGAGGCGCCCAAAGGUUCCCUCAGAAUGGUUGGAAAUCAUUCGCAGAGUGUAAAGGUAUAAGGGAGCUUGACUGCGAGAGCUACAACUCGAGCAGGGACGAAAGUCGGGCUUAGUGAUCCGGUGGUUCCGCAUGGAAGGGCCAUCGCUCAACGGAUAAAAGCUACCCUGGGGAUAACAGGCUUAUCUCCCCCAAGAGUUCACAUCGACGGGGAGGUUUGGCACCUCGAUGUCGGCUCGUCGCAUCCUGGGGCUGUAGUCGGUCCCAAGGGUUGGGCUGUUCGCCCAUUAAAGCG
rnacentral:rRNA from 1 species